GACGAACGCUGGCGGCGUGCCUUAUACAUGCAAGUCGAACGCAGUGGGGGCGGGUGAGUAACACGUGGGUAACCUCCCAUCAGAGGGGAGAACACUUGGAAACAGGUGCUAAACCCAUACUGGUGGAUGGACCCGCGGGGGAUUAGCUAGUUGGUGAGGUAACGGCUCACCAAGGCCACGAGGCAUAGCCGACCUGAGAGGGCGACCGGCCACACUGGGACUGAGACACGGCCCAGACUCCUACGGGAGGCAGCAGUAGGGAAGCUUGGGCAAUGGGCGAAAGUCUGACCGAGCAACGCCGCGUGAGUGAAGAAGGCUUUCGGAUCGUAAAGCUCUGUUGUUAGAGAAGCGGUAUCUAACCAGUAAGCAACGGCUAACUACGUGCCAGCAGCCGCGGUAAUUC
rnacentral:rRNA from 1 species